AUGUAGCGUGAUCGUGAUGUCCGACUCCGAGUGCUGCGAGUUUCAAUACUGUUUAUGUAGUCAUUGAGAUUUUAAACAAAGUUUCUUCUGAGAAGAGGAAUUCGAUGGAUGCAUUCAACGUGGACAACGAGAUUAUAAUUUCGUUUGUGUCAUCCUAAGGACCAGUGCAAGUUGAAAUGGGCUUCGAGUCAACAACUUCAACAGCAAUUUGCCUUGAAAAUCAGCAAGAAAGGUACUUCAUUUACAUUGAUGAUGUCAUAUCCCCUGGACCCCACAACUUUACAGGUUACAGAGAAAAUUCAAGAACUUCUGCACAAUGUGGGACUUGGAUAGAAUCAAUAAUGUAUUUGUGAGCCCAGAUAUAUUGUGCAACAUACUAAAGUGUGAAUUUAAUUGAAAACAAGUACAUGUACUCAUGUAUACUAUUAUAUGUCUUUCUUAAAGACAAUAAUAUUACAUAAAUGUAGAUGAAGUGUCAUUGUUGAUUAUUCUAAGUUUUUGAUAUAUCAAAAUCAGUAAACAUUUCUAAAUGAAAAUAAAAUACCAAUUUUAUAACUUUUAA